rnacentral:lncRNA from 1 species
CCGCCUUUUCCUGUAGUCCACUAUCAGCUCCUUUGUCUUGCUCACAUUGAGGGAGAGGUUGUUGUUCUGGCACCACACUGCCAGGUCUCUGACCUCCUCCCUAUAGGCUGUCUCAUCGUUGUCAGUAAUCAGGCCUACCACUGUUGUGUCGUCAGAAAAUGUAAUGAUUGGGGUUGGAGUCAUGUUUGGCCACGCAGUCGUGGGUGAACAGGGAGUACAGGAGGGGACUAAGCACACACCCCUGAGAGGCCCCAGUGUUGAGGAUCAGCGUAGCAGAUGUGUUGUUGCUUACCCUUACCACCUGGGGGCGGCCCGUCAGGAAGUCCAGUAUCCAGUUGCAGAGGGAGGUGUUUAGUCCCAGGGUCCUUAGCUUAGUGAUGAGCUUUGUGGGCACCAUGGUGUUGAACACUGAGCUGUAGUCAAUGAACAGCAUUCUCACAUAGGCAUUCCUUUUGUCCAGGUGGAAAAGGCCAGUGUGGAGUGCGAUUGCGUCAUCUGUGGAUCUGUUGAGGCGAUAUGCGAAUUGGAUUGGGUCUAGGUUAUCCGGAAGGAUGCUGUUGAUGUGAGCCAUAAAAAGCACUUCAUGGCUACUGACGUGAGUGCUACGGGGCGGUAAUCAUUUAGGCAGGUUACCAUCGCUUCCUUGGGCACAGCGACUAUGGUGGUCUGCUUGAAACAAGGAAGAGGUUGAAAAUGUCAAUGAAGACACUUGCCAGUUGGUCCGGACAUGCUUUGAGUACACGUCCUGGUAAUCCAUCUGGUCCCGCUGCUUUGUGAAUGUUGACCUGUUUAAAGGUCUCACAUCGGCUACCGAGAGCGUUAUCACACAGUCAUCCUGAACAGCUGGUGCUUCAGUGUUGCUUGCCCGAAAGCGAGCAUAAAAGGCAGGCUGCAUAUGGUGAGUUGUAGAAGCUGAGCUGGGGCCUGGUAUGGCUGGGCCAGGGGCUGGUAGGGCUGAGCUGGGGCCUGGUAUGGCUGGGCCAGGGGCUGGUAGGGCUGAGCUGGUGCCUGGUAUGGCUGGGCGGGAGGCUGGUAGGGCUGAGCUGGGGCCUGGUAUGGCUGGGCCAGGGGCUGGUAGGGCUGAGCUGGGCCUGGUGUGGAUGGGACAGGGGCUGGUAUGGCUAGGCCAGGGGCUGGUAGGGCUGAGCUGGGGCAAGUGUGACUUGAAGGUCCAAUGCAGCCAUUUUAUCUCAAUAUCAAAUCAUUACUCGGUAACAGUUAACUACCUUACUGUGAUUCUUUUCUAUUAAAAUGUUGAAAAAGAAACAACAAUAGAUUCUUAGCAAAUAGCAAUUUCUCAAGCACUAAUUUUGCAAGCACGGUCUGAGAGUGGUCUGAGUGGGGAGGAGAAAAUGGAAAAUGACCUGCUAUUGGCGGAGAGCCUUGUAACUCUCUUUCUAAUUGGUCUAUUAACUGGUCCUGUAUGGCUCAGUUAGCGCGAGCACCAUGCUCUACCAUCAGGGUAGUGGGUUCAAUUCCCGGAGUCUUCCAUACAUAAAAUGUAUGCACACAUGAAUGUAAGUUGCUUUGAUAAAAGACUCUGCUAACUGACGUAUAAAAUAUAUAACUAAUUUAAUACCUAGUGAUGUCACCAGGCAGAUGACAAACAGGCUGAAAUUUCAG